AGAGUUUGAUCCUGGCUCAGGACGAACGCUGGCGGCGUGCCUAAUACAUGCAAGUCGAGCGCGAGAUAUUCUAUGAUUUCUUCGGAGUGAUUAGGAUGGAUCGAGCGGCGGACGGGUGAGUAACACGUGGGUAACCUGCCUGUAAGCUCGGAAUAACCCCGGGAAACCGGAGCUAAUGCCGAAUGUGAUCAUCGCACCGCAUGGUGCGAUGAAUAAAGACGGCUUUGUCGUCACUUACAGAGGGGCCCGCGGCGCAUUAGCUUGUUGGUGAGGUUAAAGCUUACCAAGGCGACGAUGCGUAGCCGACCUGAGAGGGUGAUCGGCCACACUGGGACUGAGACACGGCCCAGACUCCUACGGGAGGCAGCAGUAGGGAAUCAUCCGCAAUGGACGAAAGUCUGACGGUGCAACGCCGCGUGAGUGAUGAAGGUCUUCGGAUCGUAAAGCUCUGUUGUCAGCGAAGAACAGGUGCCAUAGGUAAUGAUGGCGCUUUGACGGUAUCUGACCAGAAAGCCCCGGCUAACUACGUGCCAGCAGCCGCGGUAAUACGUAGGGGGCAAGCGUUGUCCGGAAUUAUUGGGCGUAAAGCGCGCGCAGGCGGCUUCUUAAGUCUGAUGUGAAAGCCCGUGGCUCAACCACGGAGGGGCAUUGGAAACUGGGGGGCUUGAGUACAGGAGAGGAGAGCGGAAUUCCACGUGUAGCGGUGAAAUGCGUAGAGAUGUGGAGGAACACCAGUGGCGAAAGCGGCUCUCUGGCCUGUAACUGACGCUGAGGCGCGAAAGCGUGGGGAGCGAACAGGAUUAGAUACCCUGGUAGUCCACGCCGUAAACGAUGAGUGCUAGGUGUUAGGGGGGUCCAACCCCUUAGUGCUGAAGUUAACACAUUAAGCACUCCGCCUGGGGAGUACGACCGCAAGGUUGAAACUCAAAGGAAUUGACGGGGGCCCGCACAAGCAGUGGAGCAUGUGGUUUAAUUCGAAGCAACGCGAAGAACCUUACCAGGUCUUGACAUCCUCUGACAACCCUAGAGAUAGGGCGUUCCCCUUCGGGGGACAGAGUGACAGGUGGUGCAUGGUUGUCGUCAGCUCGUGUCGUGAGAUGUUGGGUUAAGUCCCGCAACGAGCGCAACCCCUAAUCUUAGUUGCCAGCAUUCAGUUGGGCACUCUAAGGUGACUGCCGGUGACAAACCGGAGGAAGGUGGGGAUGACGUCAAAUCAUCAUGCCCCUUAUGACCUGGGCAACACACGUGCUACAAUGGGCGGCACAACGGGCAGCGAAACCGCGAGGUUCAGCGAAUCCCUUAAAGCCGCUCUCAGUUCGGAUUGUAGGCUGCAACUCGCCUGCAUGAAGCCGGAAUUGCUAGUAAUCGCGGAUCAGCAUGCCGCGGUGAAUCCGUUCCCGGGCCUUGUACACACCGCCCGUCACACCACGAGAGUCCGCAACACCCGAAGUCGGCUCCGGCCGCCGAAGGUGGGGCGAAUGAUUGGGGUGAAGUCGUAACAAGGUAGCCGUAUCGGAAGGUGCGGCUG
rnacentral:rRNA from 1 species